rnacentral:rRNA from 1 species
UACGUAGGGUGCAAGCGUUGUCCGGAAUUAUUGGGCGUAAAGAGCUCGUAGGCGGUCUGUCGCGUCGGCUGUGAAAACCCGGGGCUCAACCCCGGGCCUGCAGUCGAUACGGGCAGACUAGAGUGCGGGUAGGGGAGAGUGGAAUUCCCGGUGUAGCGGUGAAAUGCGCAGAUAUCGGGAAGAACACCCGUGGCGAAGGCGGCUCUCUGGGACGGUACUGACGCUGAGACGCGAAAGCGUGGGGAGCGAACGAGGA